CCUACGGGAGGCAGCAGUGGGGAAUAUUGGGCAAUGGGCGCAAGCCUGACCCAGCAACGCCGCGUGAAGGAAGAAGGCCCUCGGGUUGUAAACUUCUUUUGUUAGGGAAGAGUAGCAGGCCGUGUCUGCCGAAUUAGCCACGGCUAACUACGUGUCCGCAGCCGCCGUAAUACGUAGGUGGCAAGCGUUGUUCGGAUUUAGUGGGUGGAAAGGGCGUGUAGACAGGUUGGCAAGUCAGGUGUGAAAUCCUGGGGCUCAACCGCAGACCUGCAUUUGAAACUGUAGGUCUUGAGUACGGGAGAGGCAGACGGAAUUCCGGGUGUAGCGGUGAAAUGCGUAGAUAUAAGGAGGAACACCAGUGGCGAAGGCGGAUUGCUGGACAGUAACUGACGCUGAGGCGCGAAAGCGUGGGGAGCAAACAGGAUUAGAUACCCUAGUAGUC
rnacentral:rRNA from 1 species